rnacentral:tRNA from 1 species
CCCGUAGCUUAGCAAGGUAGAGCGGCGGACCCACAUUCGGGAGGGUCGAGGGUUCAAUUCCCUCCGGG